CCAAUAGCGUAUAUUAAAGUUGCUGCAGUUAAAAAGCUCGUAGUUGAAUUUCAGGACCAAUAUGUCGGUCGUGCCUCGGUACGUACUGGCAUCGUUGGUUUCUCCCUUCUGAAGAACCAUGAUGUCAUUUAUUUGGUGUCGUGGGGAAUCAGGACUGUUACUUUGAAAAAAUUAGAGUGUUUAAAGCAGGCUCACGCUUGAAUACAUUAGCAUGGAAUAAUGAAAUAGGACGUUUGAUUCUAUUUUGUUGGUUUCUAGGAUCGAUGUAAUGAUUAAUAGGGAUAGUUGGGGGCAUUAGUAUUCAAUUGUCAGAGGUGAAAUUCUUGGAUUUAUUGAAGACUAACUACUGCGAAAGCAUUUGCCAAGGAUGUUUUCAUUAAUCAAGAACGAAAGUUAGGGGAUCGAAGACGAUCAGAUACCGUCGUAGUCCUAACCAUAAACUAUGCCGACUAGGGAUCGGAUGAUGUUAAUUUUUUAAUGACUCAUUCGGCGCCUUACG
rnacentral:rRNA from 1 species